UCAGAGGGGAGGAAAGGGGAGGAAGAAGAGUGAGAAACAGAGAGAGAGAGAGAGAGAAGAUGAAUAGAGAGGAAUGAGAGAGCAGCAGCAGCAGAGGAGGAGGAAGGAGGGAAGACGAGAGAGGUGUAACAUGAACCAGGAGAGAGAGAGAGAGAGAGAGAGAUAAUAGUUACAUCAACUGCAUCCAACUUGGAACAUCUAUUCUCAGCCUCCAGCGGUCAGCACUCACUCUGUGUACAAGUGUCACUGUGUGUGUGUGUGUGUGUGUGUGUGUGUGUGUUUCUGUGUAUCAGCGACAAUUUCUUUUCCCCGAAUUCCCUGGAUGUAGUGAGCUUGAGGAAAAAGAAAAAAGGGAUUCAAAGUAUCUCAACAUGUUGACAUUCAAGUGUGUGUGUGUGUGUGUGUGUGUGUGUGUGUGUGUGUGUGUGUGUGUGUGUGUGUGUGUGUGUGUGUGUGUGUGUGUGUGGGAGGAAGUCGAUGUUCAGGCUGAUUUAAUGGGGAUUGACAGCAUUUUACCGUCAAAGUCAUCCAUCCAGCAGGGUACGCGGGGUGGGAAGGACGGCUGGUUUUGAUUUUGAUUUUGUUUCAGGGCUGAUAGAAAGUCAAAGAAGACGUUUCGUUCCGGGCGAAGGAGCUUCUUUCUCAGCUCUGGUGGGGAAGUUUCCGCGGGCCGGAGUAAAUAUUGACAGGUGAUGUUUGAAUGACAGUAUAACCUCAGACACGGAGCUUAACGUUUUUUUUUUUUAAGAACAUAAUAACGUAAAAAGUUGACCUAGCAUGGAGUCACCCAUUGAUUCAGGAGUAGACUCAAUGUUAAACAUGCUAACAUUGAUAAGAGGUUACAGUAUGACGUUAGCUAGUGAGUAAGCUCAGGUGACUAGACGUCCUCGAUUUCUGGGGACAGUCCCUGUAUCGGAUGACCUGUCUCCGGAAAUGUCCCUGAUUUAAGCGUUUCAUGAAUGAGAACAAAAAUGUUGUGUGCAGACGAGAACAACGAUUAUUAUGGUAGGAAGUAUGACUGAGCAUGUUGCACACAGUCCCGGAUUUUCUUACAGAAAUCGUAAGCCUAUUCAAAAUUAGCAACUAGCUAGUUUUAGCUUGUUUGCAAAAUGCAUUUAGUAGACUUUUUUCCCAUGUUGCAACAGUAGUGACCUGUCAAGUUUAAGAUAGUCAUGCUUCAAAGUAGGACAAGGUUAGCUUCCUGUUUUUGUUUAAAGUGCGGCCAUAAUCUACAAAAUCACUAUCCUGCAGAAUUGAAACAUCAUGAACGUUUGCGGCAAAGUGAUAAAUUUACCAAGAAGAGGAAAUUAACUACUAAUCUACCAUAUUUUUCGGACUAUAAGGAGCACCUAAAAUCCUUCAAUUUUCUCAAAAAUUGACAGCGCGCCUUAUGUUUGAGUUCUUGUUGUGCUUACUGACCGAUUUUAUGUCGUACAAUGUGCUCAAAAAUCUGUCGAAAUGUGUCACUCCCUAAACUAGAAAUGCAUUCAUGUAAGACAGGCGGGCCUGGAGGACGUGCUAACAACAAUCAAUGCGCUAAUGUUUAAUGCGCCUUACAAUCCGGUGUGCUUUAUGUGUGAACAAAGACACAUUAAUUCACAGUGGGCCUUGUCGUCAGAAAAAUAUGUUACUAAUUUAAGAGUUCUUCGUAAACAGUGGUGUCGCCCCCUGCUGGCCAUGUUGGUAGGUCUUUAGGUAAUAUAAUGGUCACCUUUAUCAGAAUGAGAAAAUAGAGCACAGCUCUCAGUUUAGUUGACAGCAGGUGUAAAAUUUUCUCUCAAACGCUGAAUUUUUCAGAAUAAAUACUCUGAUAAAGUUUUUCACAGGUUAGUUGGGAGAAGACUCGUGUCUCUGGAGUUUGCCGGUUUAGAGCCUUUGGUGUGUUGUGACUUCCUGUUUGUUGGUGUGUGUGUGUGGCGGUGUUAUACCCACUGCCUGCCAGCUUUUUUUUUAUAUCAGCUUUCCAGCUGUUGGCUUCAUAAAACACCUGCUGUCAGCUGCACAAUUCACAGUCGAGCUAAAAUAAGGAUCUCCACAGCUGAACCUCGGAUACUCGGAAAGCGUUGUGCCAACACUGACGAUCACAACCCACUGAUCUGAGCUCUGAUCAGCUGAGCGUGAACUUCUCUCCUGAAUCUGAAGUGGUCCACAGAGAUCUGUGAAGAUCACGUCUCUCCGCCUCCUUUUUAUUAUCAAAUUCAACAUCUUUGGCUCUUUGAGCUCAGCUAAGCAUUUUAUCAAACUUUUCCCACAUUUGUCCGGGCGCUCUCCUGUAAACAGGUUUCCACGGUGACAGAUGACUAAAAGACUGCAGGUCAAAACUAAAUCAGUCUUUAUCUGAUGCUCCUUUGAUAACCCUUCAUUUGUAACGGCCGAGUUAAGGUGUGAAACGACGUGCUAACCUUUAACUGCUGAUCGUCGGUUUUAGAGAAACUUGUUGUGUCAGAGGUUUCUUCCUCUCCAAUAAUCGCAGACAGGAAACACCAUUAACAUUCAUUUGGAGUCGUUCUCUCCUGGCGUUUGAUGAGUGUAAAUCCGAUAUUGGCUCCCCUUUUAUCUUUUUAUGUUUUUGUCUGUGCCAACUCCGCGGGGAAAUAUGUGGCUCCAUCUCGUGCUCCUCGAUGUUUAUCAGCUAUUUUUCAAACUUUUCUGUUUUCUGUUUGCUGCUGGACAGGUACUCCAUCUGAAGAGCCUUAAACAGCUCUAAAUCCUGCACACCAACCUACGUUAUAUUCUUUGUAUUUCAAACAAUCACUGAAGAAGGGCGAGCGCUGAGCGACCGUAUUUUUGUACUGAAAUCUGUCUUGUCAUCUGCUGUGAAAUUCUGUAAAUCCUCCUCUGACAGCAGUUUAAAGGUGAGGAAGGCAGAAACCUGUUAAAGAAGCUUCUGUUUUUGUGGUGUGUAAACAAAAACUCUUCUAAUAUCAGUCAAUAGUUAUUAGUUAUUGAUUAUUUGGUAAUAUAUCGAUAUCUCUGUGUUCUCUUAUGUCUGUGUCGUCAACAUUUGAACAUUUUUGAGCGGUCCGCUCUUUCUGACUGUAAACAAAGCCGUUCUCCACCUCCUCUAACCUGAUUGGUUGUGAGGCAGACGCUGCUCCCCCGUGUCGUUCAGGAGCCCAAACAAAGUUAGCGUGCUACAAUAUCGGACAGUAGAAACCAACCAGAAAGUUCGGAAAAUUGUCUGAAUCCUCCUUUGGCCAAGACUGCCGACACAAGCAAAUAAACAGUCAACCAUAAUCAGUCAGCAAGAAAACCGGUCAACACCAAACCAGUCAACACCAAACCGGUCAACAGGUCAGCAAGAAAACAGUCAACCAUAAACAGUCAACACCAAAACAGUCAACAAGAAAACAGUCAACACCAAACCAGUCAAAAAGAAAACAGUCAACAAGAAAACAGUCAGCAAGAAAACAGUCAGCAAGAAAACAGUCAACAAGAAAACAGUCAGCAAGAAAACGUCAACUAUAAUCAGUCAACAAGAAAACAGUCAACCAUAAACAGUCAACACCAAAACAGUCAACAAGAUAACAGUCAGCAAGAAAACAGUCAACACCAAACCGGUCAAAAAGAAAACAGUUAACAAGAAAACAGUCAACCACAAACAGUCAACACCAAAACAGUCAACAAGAAAACAGUCAGCAAGAAAACAGUCAACACCAAACCGGUCAAAAAGAAAACAGUCAACAAGAAAACAGUCAACAAGAUAACAGUCAACCACAAUCAACAAGAAAACAGUCAACAAGAAAACAGUCAACCACAAACAGUCAACACCAAAACAGUCAACAAGAAAACAGUCAGCAAGAAAACAGUCAACACCAAACCAGUCAAAAAGAAAACAGUCAACAAGAAAACAGUCAACCACAAACAGUCAACACCAAAACAGUCAACAAGAAAACAGUCAGCAAGAAAACAGUCAACACCAAACCGGUCAAAAAGAAAACAGUUAACAAGAAAACAGUCAGCAAGAAAACAGUCAACACCAAAACAGUCAACAAGAAAACAGUCCACACCAAAACAGGCAACAAGAAAACAGUCAACAAGAAAAUGCUGCUCCCCCGUGUCGUUCAGGAGCCCAAACAAAGUUAGCGUGCUACAAUAUCGGACAGUAGAAACCAACCAGAAAGUUCGGAAAAUUGUCUGAAUCCUCCUUUGGCCACGACUGCCGACACAAGCAAGAAAACAAAGUAAAUACCGGAGACUCUGGAGGAAUAACGGGCGCUUAAAACGGAGGUAGACCGGACAAGAGCUAAAAAGCCGGGUCAACAUAAACCAUGGGGGACGCUUGGGGAUCUUGGUGACCCUGUAACCUUUCUGCUGGACAGGUAAACCGCUUUAACAAAGUAAGACAAGUGUCUGUAACAGAAGUGUUUCUUGUCAAACGGACCUGCUGUAGCGUGUUGUAGCGUCAUCGCUAAACUGUCCUCCCUCGGGUCCUGGACUAUGUCACUUUAUCCUCGUUGUAGAAGUCCUGCAAACAUUGUGUUUGCUGGUAGUCUGUUGGCAUCUACAGUAGCACCAAUGCUUUUGACUUUCACCUUGACUGGGCCCCAUUUGUAAUGAUCUGAAGUAUUUAUCUGCAUUAUAUCUGAAUUUAAUUGGAACGAUACGAGCGAGCAGGAGCGUCUGUUUGUGGGCGGGGCUUAAGGGGAGGAGCUGAGGGGAAAACUGGUUUGGAGGGGUCGAGUUUACAUUCAAGAUUUCUCCUAAAAACUGGAACUAACUCAGAUCCUGACUACACCACUUACCCUACUACUGUGGUGAUUCAUUCACACACUCCAAAAGUGACACGCCUCUGCACCACAACAACAGCUGUUUUUAGCAGAAUACCGCACUGCCAUUACCGUAAUGUCUCUAAGGAAGUAAGUCAACGCUUAAAGAGGUUAAUGCAGCAGCAGGUGUAAACACAAAACUCUGCUGAGUUUCUCCUCCAGGUACUUGUAAGGCCAACACAAAUCUUUAAAACCUGAUCAUCUAAUUUCAAAAACUGAGACUACAGCACCAUUAAAACAUGUUUUAGAGUCCUGACUAUUUUCUGACAUUGUCAGGUUGUCAAAACUGAAAUUAAAGCCCCUUUCAAACAUAAGAAUAAGAAGAACUUUAUUUAUCCCUGAAGGAAAAUUCCUGUGCUGCACACAAAUUUCCAACAUUGUCAGGUUGGAAUUCUUGUGAAUCUUGUCCACCAAACCUGUUCACCCCGACUUUGGAUCUUUCCUUUCAGUGUGUGGAAACGUUUUUCCUUCACUCCUCAUAUGAGACUUUCUACUAACUCUAAUUUUCACCUGUGUGGAUUUAAUUCUCCGAGCGAACGCUCCGGCCCUCAUACUCUGGGGAGAUCAGCUGAUGAUGUACAAACAUAGAGGCACACAGGAACUUCACCCAGGAGACUGGGGUCUGUGUCCUCAAGAGACAGCAAUUUGUGUCCUACACAAAAGGUCUUUGUCCCCAGGAGACGAGGGUUUGUGUCCCGGAGUUUUCUCCCCGUGUGAAACAUCGAUAUAAAGUUGUUGUUUUCUCUUUAAUCCAUUCGGUGCUUAACCUCCAUUUUCACAAUGGAACCAGAGGACGCAGAGGUCAGAGGUCAUCACGGUUCUGGUUUCUUCCUCACAUUUAGCUGUUAUCAAAAUAUCAAAAACAUGUUUGUCUGAAAAAACAAUCAUAACCUGCUCAUCCAGUCCGUGGUGAACCUGUGGAGCAGAGUGUCUGAGAUCAUUUCUUCAGUCUGUGCCUCUGGAAGUGUGAUGAACAAACACGCAGGAUCUCCGUUUUUAUUCAGGCCGUCAACAAAAGACAACCAGAGGUUCAGUCAAUAUUUCAGCGUGAGGUUUUCUGCUGACAACAAGUGAAAAGAGAUGAUAACAAAUAAAAGACUGGCUCUCCUCUCAGCGUCUCCUGAAGAGUGACAAACAGACAAACCUGUAUGUGGUUGUCACACACCUCCUCUACUCCAUUAUCUGCUGUUCUGGGCCAAUCAGGAGGAAUCGAUGAGCCUUCACCCAGAGCUAAAUAAGACUCAAUUCUGUUUUAACACAAAAGUCCAUCCAUCUCGUCUGUACCGUCUUCCCCGUUUAGGGUCCCUGGGGCGUCGAGUCAAUCUCAGCUGUCAAUGAGCGAGAGGCGGGCUGUACGGGUCAGUCACAGGUGUGUGUCAGUGUGUGACCAUCACCGAUGAGCCGAAGCAGCGGGUUUUUGGACUUUAGGAGCAAAAGUGGAGGGUCCAAAGAAAACCAACACAUGUGAGGGGGAAACAGGCCGUACAGGAGUCUACCGACACGGCUGUAAGGACGGCUGUCCGAAAUGAAUCACUCAGUCCCUAACCCCUGACCCCCAUAUGGGAUUUUACUAUACACAACAGCAUGACGCAAUGCAUGAUGGGAUGCCCACCACCAGAGAGUGACCAUCGGAUUGUCACUAGAUUUUACACCUGAAUCCGUUCACCCUAUCAGGUGCAGGGCUGCAAAAACAUUGACCAAUGGGAGCCAUCCGUCCCGGUCAGCUCCUAUUGGUCAAUCUCCUGCUCCGCCUCUCCAUCCAAUCAUCUCGCUGUAUUCGACCCCAACCUCUCCCGUAGUUCCAACUCGUCCCCUCCCUCUCUCCUGGAGCUCUGAGCGGCUAAAAGUAGCGUAGCAGCUUAGCUACAGGAGCUGUGAUGGAGAAGGACGCAAAAACAAAAACACUUCUGCUCGCCCCACCACCAAAAGUGGGACGAAAACACAGGCCAACAAAAGAAAGGGCGGAGUCGAAGAGGACAUGUGACCAAGCGAGGAAUCUAACGUGAAUAACCAUCGGGUCAUCCUUGGAGCGGUGGAGAAAACAGACGCAGAGACAGCAGAGUUUUAGUUGAACAGGUCAUUUUUAUCUCCUUUUAUCGUGGCUCAUGUUACAUAAAUAACUCUGAUUAGUCUCUGACAUGUCAACACCGUAGCUGUUAUUGUUAUUGGUAGCUUGUUAUUUAUUAUAAUUAUAAUUAUUUUGGAACAGGCUGAAAAAGUGGGCAGACAUGUUCCCCCCGAGUCCCCCUCCAGCUCCACCCCUGUUGGCCACAUUCUCUGUCCUCACAUUCUGACUUCAUUCCUGACAUUUUCACCUUCUCUCUGAAAACACAUCAUCAGAAAAGAAAAGUCCUCCGUGUCCCUGAAACUCCUCCAGACUACAUUUAGUCCAGGUGGGUCAGACGAAGAUCUAUGACAGCGUUUCAGGUCCUCUUCUAAACCUGCUGAGUCUCCUCUGUCACACUCCGGCUAAACGCCUCCUCGCGCCGCUCUGAAGUGGACUUUAAAUUUUGACAGAUGACGUUUGAUUGACAGCACGGUGUCUGUCCGUCAGCUCAGUUUGAGCAACAAAGGCAACAUGGCGUCCCUGGUAGGGAGCUAUAAAUCUCACACAAGCACACAGUGGAGAGUUGUCAUCUGUGACUGAUGACAACUAGUCCUUCCUCACCUCCUCUCUCGCUCUCUCUCUCUCUCUCUCUGUCUCUCUCUCUCUCUCUCUUCCACAGACACAAACAGCUCUGCCAGGCUAUGCUUAUGCUAAUAGCUGUAUGCUAAUCAGGGUACUUGCAGGUGCAGAAAUAGACGCAGAACAUUUAGAGUAAAUUUAGCUUUAAUAACCGGGCUAAUCACUCCAUUAAUGUAACAUCCAGCCUGACGCGCUCACACGCGGCGUGCAGCAUGGUUGUUCUCCUAAUAGAGGGUUUCCACCUGACUGCCGCUCGCUGAGGGAUGCUGGGAGGCAGGAAACAAGGAGUUGGACAAACUCAUCUCCAUGUGUGUGUGUGUGUGUGUGUGUGUGUGAGGGUGUAAUAUGUGAGAGCUGCAGCUUUCAGGCUUCACGCCGUUUUGUUGUGUUUGCUUUAUUUUGUCUCGUCUAUAAAUGAUGAAGCUCCAGACGGGAGAGAGAGAGGCACUCAGGCCUCCCGGGGGGGGGAAGUGUUCACCACUGGGCCUCGUCCCCUCGGCAUUACCCACCCCCCGCCCCCCCUAACCAUAGCGCCUCAUGACAGACAAAUGAGGACAGAUUGUGCGUGUGUGUGACUGAAAUGAUAACUUAUGAAACCGUGCUCUUACACUCCGAGGCGACGUUUGACUCUUUUUUUAUUGAAAGAAUGGAGUUUGGCGUCCGUGAAAAAGGUCAUACAUAAGUCAUUACAGGCUGUUCAAUUUUAAUCUCGUAUCUUUACUCAUUACCUCCUGGAAACACUUUGUCAGAGCUCGGCCCGUAAAUCUCAAACCGGUUUCAUCUCUUCAAAGAUUCCUCCGUUUACAACCGGAGCGACCUUGUGAGCGAUCAGUGUGACCAUCAACGGGAAGGUUUAGUGUUGUUGUCAUCUGCUCGCGAAUAAAACAAAACCAGAGAUGCUUGAAUAAUUUGCAGCUGUCGCUUUUGAUCCAGUCUGCUGGACGAGCGUGAAUGAGGAUGAAAGAUGAGGUUGAAUUUAUUUGACAUUAAAUCACAGACGGGGAUAAAACUGUUGAGGCUGUUACAUCGAGUUCAAAAUGAGAUCUUCGCCACAAAAUCGAGGAAACUCGGCCACAAAGUAUCGAUGUUUCCAUCAGUGCCGAGUAGUAACGGGUUAUUAGUAACGCUGUUACAUAACAACGUUACUGUAUUCAGUAACUUACGCUGUGUUCUAGCUGUACUCGGAAGUCGUGAUUUCUGAACUCUGUGUCGGAAAUUUAUCUGGAACGCCCCCCUGAAGUCAGAUUUC